GACAGAGGGUGCAAACGUUGUUCGGAAUUACUGGGAGUAAAGCGCGUGUAGGCGGCGGUGCAAGUCGGGUGUGAAAGCCCUGGGCUCAACCCAGGAAGUGCAUUCGAUACUGCGCUGCUAGAGUCCCGGAGAGGAUGGUGGAACUCUCGGUGUAGAGGUGAAAUUCGUAGAUAUCGAGAAGAACACCGGUGGCGAAGGCGGCCAUCUGGACGGUGACUGACGCUGAGGCACGAAAGCGUGGGGAGCAAACAGG
rnacentral:rRNA from 1 species